rnacentral:piRNA from 1 species
UGUAAGCAUGACAUAAAGGAUGCCUAGGUUC